ACUUUUUUAGUAUAAAAAUUAUAUUUGACUUCCAAUCAAAAGAUCUUUACUAAGAAAAAGUA
rnacentral:tRNA from 1 species